CGCGAACAAUUGAUACCCCUUAUUUGCUGGUUUUUCGAACGGUACAUAUGUGUCGCUUAUUCUGCUUAAACUCAAACCAGAUUGAAAUUGGAUGUGCGUAUGUUUGUUCUUCAUUUCGACUGAAUCAUGUUGAAAAGGUGAUUGGUAGGCCUCCCCUAUUUGUGUCACGCAUAGAGAAUCUUCCACCCUCGAAAUUGAAUUCGUUGGAUCAUG
rnacentral:lncRNA from 1 species